rnacentral:tRNA from 1 species
UAGAUUGAAGCCAGUUANCUAGGGUAUUUAG